rnacentral:ncRNA from 1 species
UUAAAGGCAAUGAGGGGAAGAGUAGAUACAAGGAGGUAGUUACAGCGAGCUGGUGGUGGUGAAAGACCAGUACGAAGCCUGUAUUGAAGAACAUCCCUAAGCUCCCAACCGAAAUCUUUAUAGAAAGUAGACUUGGGCGGAAAUCUCUACCGUUAUCAAGGAGAACAGUAUCGAAAUUAUUUCUGUACUGGAAAAGAGGGCUUUUACCAAUUUGGGUGGCACCGCGGAAGAUAUAACCUUUCGUCCCAUUA